rnacentral:rRNA from 1 species
UACGAAGGGAGCUAGCGUUGUUCGGAAUCACUGGGCGUAAAGCGCACGUAGGCGGAUGUGUCAGUCAGGGGUGAAAUCCUGGAGCUCAACUUCGGAACUGCCUUUGAUACAGCACAUCUGGAGUCCGGAAGAGGUGGGUGGAAUUCCUAGUGUAGAGGUGGAAUGCGCAGAUAUCAGGAGGAACACCAAUAGCGAAGGCAGCUCGCUGGGACGUAACUGACACUGAGGCGCGAAAGCGUGGGGAGCGAACAGG